UCAACCACAGAUGUCCAGCCACAAUUCUCGGUUGGCCGCAGACUCGUACAAGAAUUGCGUUUGGACAAUCAGUGGUGAA
ncrna:Rattus norvegicus (Norway rat) microRNA rno-mir-219b precursor